AAAAACACUAGCACUAAAAAACCAACCCCAACUUCCCAAAAAGAACAACACUGGAUAAGGCUAAAAACACUAGCACCGUACAACGAACCAACUUUUCAAAAAGAGAAGUGGUAUUUCUGUAAUAUUUUUACAAUAAUUCUUAGUGGCACCAAAUUUCUUUCUUUUUCUUAUCUCGUGCUUCUUACUGAAGUUUAGGUGAAUACCCAGUUGCUUGUUUUGGAUUCUCGAUUGUUAUUCAGCUUCCUUUGCAGUAGAAUCAGUAAGUAGAGGUAUUUCUUUGGUGUAUUUGUAAACUUGCAAUGUAAGCCUAUUGUGGGAAUUUGAUUGGGCUUUCGAUUGUGUUGGGUUCAUUUGGUUGAUAAUAUCGGUGUGUAUAUGCCAGUGUUUUGCAAUUCAAUUCUGCUUUCAAGGGGGAAAGAUAGUAUCUUGAAGUGCUUUUGAGCUAUAUAUUAUGCUGGUUGCUGUAUUAAGUCUGUCUGAUUUUUGUUAAUAACUAUAUUGACAGUGCUAGUUAGGGUGUUUCAUGUACUUUAUGUGGUUUAGCUUCUUGAAAGUAUGUUUUUGGAGUUUCAAUUUCAUUCAUAUUUUGCAUUCAUUCUGCUUUUAAUGGGAAGAUAGUAUCUUAACAUUCUUUUGAGCUUCAUAUUAUGUUGGUUGCAGUACAAGGUUAGCACGGUUAAUAAUAUCAGCCCAGGUACCGUGCUCGGAAAAAUAAUAUAUAUAUAUGUGUGUGUGUGUGUAUUAAGUUAGUUUAAUUCUUGGAAGUAUGUUUUUGGAGUUGCAAUUUUGUUUUUCACUUUGAAGUAUGAAGUUAUAUCCUUUUUAUUGAACUCAGAUCUUGGGAGGGAUGAGAGGACUAAAUUUGUUGUCCUUGGCAAUAUUUUUGGUUCUUACAACCCUUCAAGAGGCAUGGUCACAUGGGGAUCAGCCUCUAUCAAAAAUUGCGAUUCAUAAGGCAACAGUUGAUCUUAAUCGUGAUGCUUAUAUUAAAGCUUCUCCUACAGUCCUACAGUCCUCGGAUUGGGUGACAUUGGAGUAUAGUUCUCCAAAGCCAUCAGCUGAUGAUUGGAUAGGAGUAUUUUCUCCUGCCAAUUUCAAUGCUUCCACCUGCCCUGAAGUAAACCCUAGAGUUUAUCCUCCACUACUAUGUUCUGCACCUAUCAAGUAUCAGUUUGCAAACUACUCCAGUCCUGAGUACAAAGACACUGGUAAAGGAUAUUUGAAGCUUCAGCUGAUUAAUCAGAGAUUAGAUUUCUCAUUUGCACUAUUUUCUGGUGGCUUAUCAAAUCCUAAGCUAGUGGCAGUUUCAAAUCAAGUACCUUUUGCAAAUCCAAAUGCACCAGUUUACCCACGCUUAGCUCAAGGGAAACAAUGGAAUGAAAUGACUGUGACAUGGACAAGUGGAUAUGGGAUCAAUGAAGCAGGAGCUUUUGUUGAGUGGGGUCCAAAAGGAGGUGACCAAGUGCAUUCUCCAGCUGGGACACUGACUUUCGAUCGUAACAGCAUGUGUGAUGCACCGGCAAGGACAGUGGGAUGGCAGGAUCCUGGAUUUAUACAUAUGAGUUUUCUGAAUGAGUUGUGGCCCAAUGCAGUAUAUACUUACAAGCUGGGGCAUAAAUUGUUCAAUGGUACAUAUGUUUGGAGUCAACAAUUAUCAGUUUAGUGCAUCUCCUUAUCCUGGUCAAAAUUCUCUACAACGUGUAGUUAUUUUUGGUGACAUGGGGAAGGAUGAAGUUGAUGGUUCCAACGAAUAUAACAAUUUCCAGCGUGGCUCUCUUAACGCUACUCGAGAGCCUAUUAGAGACUUAAAGAACAUUGAUAUAGUUUUCCACAUUGGAGAUAUUUGUUAUGCAAAUGGAUACAUUUCACAGUGGGACCAAUUUACUGCACAGGUUGAGCCAAUUGCAUCAACAGUGCCAUACAUGAUUGCAAGUGGUAACCAUGAGUGUGACUGGCCAGGGACUGGAUCAUUCUAUGGGAAUAUGGACUCUGGGGGGCGGAAUGUGGCGUGUUGGCGAAGACUAUGUUUUAUGUCCCUGCUGAGAACAGAGCCAAAUUCUGGUACUCCACCGAUUAUGGCAUGUUCCACUUCUGCAUAGCUGACACUGAACAUGACUGGAGGGAAGGAACUGAGCAGUACAAGUUCAUUGAGCAUUGCUUGGCAUUAGUUGAUAGGCAAAAGCAACCAUGGCUAAUUUUUCUUGCACAUCGAGUACUUGGUUAUUCAUCUGGUAUCAGUUAUGCAGUUGAAGGAUCAUUUGAGGAACCAAUGGGGAGGGAGAGCCUGCAAAAGCUCUGGCAGAAAUACAAGGUGGACAUUGCUGUGUAUGGCCAUGUGCACAAUUAUGAAAGGACAUGUCCCAUAUACCAGAAUAUUUGCACCAAUGAAGAGAAGCACUACUAUAAGGGCACCUUGAAUGGAACAAUACAUGUGGUUGCUGGUGGUGCAGGAGCAAGCCUUUCACCUUUUACAACCCUCCAAACCAAAUGGAGUUUCUUUAGAGACUAUGACUAUGGAUUCAUAAAACUUACAGCAUUUGACCAUUCAAACCUGUUGUUUGAGUACAAGAAGAGCAGGGAUGGAAAGGUUUACGACUCUUUCAGAAUUUCCCGGGAUUACAGGGACAUCUUGGCUUGCAUUGUGGAUAGUUGCCCAAGCAUCACCUUAGCAUCUUGAAUGAUGAGGCUUCCUGUAGUGAAAUCACAUUAGUUAUGAUUGUAUUCUUUUUCUUUUCUUUUUGUUUUUUAAUUACAAUUGUGACUGUCUUACCACAAUAAAAUUGUGAAUAAGUAAUCUCUUCUUAAGCAAAAAAAAAAAAAAA